UACGUAGGGUGCGAGCGUUUGUCCGGAAUUAUUGGGCGUAAAGAGCUUGUAGGCGGUUUGUCGCGUCUGCCGUGAAAAUCCGGGGCUCAACCCCGGACUUGCGGUGGGUACGGGCAGACUAGAGUGUGGUAGGGGAGACUGGAAUUCCCGGUGUAGCGGUGAAAUGCGCAGAUAUCGGGAGGAACACCGGUGGCGAAGGCGGUUCUCUGGGCCUUACCUGACGCUGAGGAGCGAAAGCGUGGGGAGCGAACAGG
rnacentral:rRNA from 1 species